rnacentral:rRNA from 1 species
UACGUAGGGUGCAAGCGUUAAUCGGAAUUACUGGGCGUAAAGCGCGCGCAGGCGGUUUUGUAAGUCAGAUGUGAAAUCCCCGGGCUUAACCUGGGAACUGCGUUUGAAACUACAAGGCUAGAGUGUGGCAGAGGGGGGUGGAAUUCCACGUGUAGCAGUGAAAUGCGUAGAGAUGUGGAGGAACACCGAUGGCGAAGGCAGCCCCCUGGGUUAACACUGACGCUGAAGCACGAAAGCGUGGGGAGCAAACAGG